GUAACGGCGAGUGAAGCGGUAACAGCUCAAAUUUGAAAUCUGGCUCCUCUGGAGUCCGAGUUGUAAUUUGUAGAAGAUGCUUUGGGUUGUGGGCUCGGCCUAAGUUCCUUGGAACAGGACGUCAUAGAGGGUGAGAAUCCCGUAUGUGGCCGAGGCCCGCGCCUAUGUAAAGCUCUUUCAACGAGUCGAGUUGUUUGGGAAUGCAGCUCAAAAUGGGUGGUAAAUUUCAUCUAAAGCUAAAUAUGGGCCAGAGACCGAUAGCGCACAAGUAGAGUGAUCGAAAGAUGAAAAGCACUUUGGAAAGAGAGUUAAACAGUACGUGAAAUUGUUGAAAGGGAAGCGCUUGCACCCAGACUUGGGCGCUGCUGAUCACCUUGCGGUCUCCGCGAGUGCACUCGACAGCGCACAGGCCAGCAUCGGUUCGGGUGGCUGGAUAAAGGCCGUAGGAACGUAGCUCCCUUCGGGGAGUGUUAUAGCCUACGGUGCCAUGCAGCCCAACCGGACCGAGGACCGCGCCUUCGGGCUAGGAUGCUGGCGUAAUGGGUGUAAGCGACCCGUCUUGAAACACGGACCAAGGAGUCUAACAUCUAUGCGAGUGUUUGGGUGGUAAACCCAUACGCGGAAUGAAAGUGAACGUAGGUGAGAACCCCUUUGGGGCGCAUCAUCGACCGAUCCUGAUGUCUUCGGAUGGAUUUGAGUAAGAGCAUAGC
rnacentral:rRNA from 1 species